ensembl:lncRNA
AUGUGGGCGAGAGGAGGCGGCGGUUCUGCGCAGAGCCAGGGCCGCGGUGUCCCGGGAAGCGCCGGACCCGGCCGCAGCAUCCUCGCUCAGGCGCCCGCGGCCCUCGGACCCGGGCGCGCACUGCCGUGUGCCAGGCCCCGAAGCUCCCUCUCAACUCGGAGUUCGCCUGGCUUCCCGCGCGUUCCUCGCUUACCUGCCGGUAGGGCUGGGGCGAUGAAGCUCCGCGCGGCCUCGCGGGGGCGAGGAGGGAGCCCAAACAGGGGCGGCAUCCUGCUUCCCCUCAGCCUCCGCCGCCCUCCGGUCGCCGCUUCUCCUCUCGGUCCGCGCGUCUUUCUCCUCUCGGCCCCGGACGCGGACCAGAGCGUCCCUGGCCCGCGCCCCAAGUUCUGCGCGGGUCGAAGCCGCACGCGAAGCACCUUCAGGGAGGUCGCCCGGACCCCAGAGUCCCGGCCUCUCGUUAGCGCGGGCGCGAGCGGAUACCCCACACCUCCGCCUGGUCCACACCUGCCGCCGCCGCCCGGGCCGCCGCCGUUGCCGCUCCUCCCAGGCUCCGCCCCUCGCCCGCCCCCUUCUCUGGCCGCUGCUGCCGCCGCCGCCGCCGCCGCGGGAGGGAGGGGGCGGGAAGCGGCUCCCAGAGCCCGGUGCGUGAGCUGGGCGCUGCGCCUCCUCCCUGGGGCUGGGCGGACCCAGGUCUCUCUACACUGCAGCGCCGCUCCGGGGUGCCAGAAUCUGUUGCGGGGGAGCGGCCGCUUUUUUCGGGUGGGAGCGUCUCGUGGAGAGUCAGGAGAGCUAAGGGAAGGAGAGAGUGCCCACCUGCGCGAGCCCGAGCUCACCGUGCGCUCGUCAAAUCCAAACUUAGCCAAAUGCACAGCGGAAAUGCCUCCUAGGUCGGACCCCUGCAUUUGCAGGGGUCUUCUAAAAACCUGGCUGGUAGAAUGGGCCCCUGGUGUAACUGCCGUUAGAACAAGCGGGGAGCUUUCCAUCCCGAGUGGCCUCUCCCCUAUGCGCAACGCUAUAGGUGCCUCGAGGCCCGUCUCCGAUGCCGUCUCCACCGUGCAAUUUUUCCAGGUGCCCACCCUCGUCCAGAUUUGA